rnacentral:tRNA from 1 species
GCCUGGCUAGCUCAGUCGGUAGAGCAUGAGACUCUUAAUCUCUGGGUCGGGGGUUCGACCCCCCCGUUGGGCG